rnacentral:rRNA from 1 species
UACAGAGGUCUCAAGCGUUGUUCGGAUUCAUUGGGCGUAAAGGGUGCGUAGGCGGCGCGGUAAGUCGGGUGUGAAAUUUCGGAGCUUAACUCCGAAACUGCAUUCGAUACUGCCGUGCUUGAGGACUGGAGAGGAGACUGGAAUUUACGGUGUAGCAGUGAAAUGCGUAGAGAUCGUAAGGAAGACCAGUGGCGAAGGCGGGUCUCUGGACAGUUCCUGGACGCUG